rnacentral:ncRNA from 14 species
AGGAAGACAGGCGAUGGGGUUCGCCAAAACCGCCCCGGAGAACAGCGGGAGCUGAUGACCCCUACUCCAUU